CUCCGUUUUGCUGCGUGUUCCGCUUAUGACGCAGUUUUGUUUUAAAGUGGAGUUUUACUUUCUAUUGUAAAUAGUAUUGUAGAGUGAAGAACUUACCAAAGUACAGGAAUUCACCAAGUUGAGUAAUUUUGAUAUCGUUUGGCGGUUUUGGAGAGGAUCGACCUAUAUUGAAUCUUGGUUCAAGAAAAAGUGACUUGCAACUGAGGUAUCCCCUGCUAAAGUAGGAAGGAUAGUGCAGUGUCUAUUCUCCAGAGGAAAAGAUUUCCAGCAUUGCAGUUUUUAUGAUUUGCAAACUAGCACCUGACUGCAUACUUGGCUUUGUGACAAGUGGUAACUGAUCCGUGGAACCUCUUAGCCAGGAAAUGGAGAAUAAUAUGUUUUUCAAACUGCUCUGAUGAAGUGGAACUUGAUACCCUUUACAUGACCAGAUGACAUCAUCAUAUUUGUCGCAGGUGUAUUUAAUGUAUCUAUAUAUACAAAUUACUUAAUUCUAAUUAUACAAAUAAAAAAAUUUCUUCUGCAUAAAAACACCACAUUGUGGUCCCAAUUGCCUUUAAUCUGCUAUGAAAAUGCUUGAAGCUGGUACAGAGAUAUGAAAUAAAUAUCCAUAUUCAUAAUCUCAUAUGACCAGCAGGUUAUUGCUCUAUUAUACUGCAGAGGCCAAUUAAUUUAUUCUCUUUACACAGUGAUUGCAGAGAAAUGUAACCUGUCCAAAUAAUUGACUUUUAUAUGUUAAAGGACAAUGAGAAGUCUUCCUUCAUAAAACAAAGCAGCAAAAUAUUAAGAAAUUCACUAAAUGUUUAAACUCUCAAUUACCUUAAAACAUUUGAACAACAAUGAUUAUGGAAUAAGCUGCUAUUAAACUUAUCAUUAUCUAGCUCUGCACGGUUACGCACCAAUGAAGGGAAUUUUCAUGUAAAUCAUGCACUAAGCUUCAAAAACCUUCCCGAAAUAUUUUUACAGACAGGUAAUCAGAUCAAGAACGGGUGCUGACACAAAAAAUAUAUAUUAGGAGGCAUUGGGUAAAAGCCUGGAUGGAAGGCUUUUUUAAAACAUUUCAGUAGGAAUAUAGACUACUGGUUUAGGCAGGGAAUCCUGCAUUUGUGCCAUUUAAUUCAUAGCUGAGUUCCUGUACAUGUAACAAUAUUAUUUCUCCUCUUCCCCUCUGAAGGCUCUGACUUGUUUUCAUGCACUCCAUGGAUGUUGGCUUGCUGAGAGCUCUCCACAUACCUAUUAUCUAAGUAUAGACACCAAUCGGUUUCUGAGAGAUGCCACAACCAAGCCCGAUCAUGCUUGGUCCACUUGGCACUUUCCAACAGAGAUUACUGGUUGCUGACAAGGCACACAAUUAACCCUACCCACAACUGAUCUUUUACCUUUCUUGGCCCAGGAGUUACCAAGCCAAUUCCAACUCCAGCCAACUGAACAUAGACUGAUUUUAUGGCCAAUGCUUCUACCUUUAGUAACCUUAUAACAUAUAACCAUAUAACAAUUACAGCACGGAAACAGGCCAUCUCAGCCCUUCUAGUCCGUGCCGUACUAAUAGUACUGGUAGUAUUUGUACUAAUAAGUACUAGUCAUCUGAUGAAGGGGCUCAAAAUAGAAACAUUUACUUUUUUUAAAACCACAAAUGCUGCAUUAUUUUUUACUUUGUGGUAUUUUUCUUUUUUUUUUCAGAUUUCUUGCAUCUGCAUUUUCUUAUUUUCCUUAGUUCUUUGAGGUUCUGGCCUGGGAGUUACUCCACACUGAUGGUACAAGUUGUGAGGAAGACUUUGUGAUUCUGCAAUGGGAUACAGAUUGAUUGAGGGACUGGGCAAAUACAGUUUUGCAUGGGGGAAGUCAAGUCAUGCAUUUCAAAAAGGGGAAUCAAAACAUAGAUUCUCAUCAAAAUGGAGAGAGAAAGAAAAUGAAUGAAGUUCAGAGGAAUUGAAGUAGUCAAGUGUUUUAAUCACAAAAAGUUAGUAGGGAGGUCGAACAAGCAGUUAAGGCAGCAAACAGCA